GAUGAACGCUGGCGGCGUGCCUAAUACAUGCAAGUCGAGCGAACAGACGAGGAGCUUGCUCCUCUGACGUUAGCGGCGGACGGGUGAGUAACACGUGGAUAACCUACCUAUAAGACUGGGAUAACUUCGGGAAACCGGAGCUAAUACCGUAUGAUAUAUUGAACCGCAUGGUUCAAUAGUGAAAGACGGUUUUGCUGUCACUUAUAGAUGGAUCCGGGCGGCAUUAUCUAGUUGGUAAGGUAAAGGCUUACCAAGGCAACGAUGCGUAGCCGACCGGAGAGGCGGAUAGGCCACACGGGAACGUAGACACGGUCCAUACUCCUGCGGGACGCAGCAGUAGGGAAUCGUCCGCAAUGGGCGAGAGCAUGACGGAGCGACGCCGAGCGAGUGAUGACAGUCUUCGGAUCGUAAAGCUCUGUUAUGAGGGAAGAACAAAUGUGUAAGUAACUAUGCACGUCUUGACGGUACCGAGUCAGAAAGCCACGGCUAACUACGUG
rnacentral:rRNA from 1 species